UACGGAGGGUGCGAGCGUUGUCCGGAAUCACUGGGCGUAAAGGGCGCGUAGGCGGCAUGCCAAGCGUGUGGUGAAAGCCCGGGGCUCAACCCCGGGUCGGCCGUGCGGACUGGCGUGCUCGAGGGCUGUAGAGGCAGACGGAAUUCCGGGUGUAGCGGUGGAAUGCGUAGAGAUCCGGAGGAACACCGGUGGUGUAGACGGCUUUCUGGACCGUAACUGACGCUGAGACACGAAAGCGUGGGUAGCAAACAGG
rnacentral:rRNA from 1 species